GGGUGGGGCCUGGGUGACUGAAAGGUGUGUGUCUUGUGACAGGUGAUAGGGGUUACCACAGGCAAAAAUUCAGACACAGAAGGUCUACAGUGUAGUACACAGGAAGCCAAGAGUAUGAGCAGAGGGGAUGAGCGAACCGGCUGGGAAGACCACAUUUCAGAUGUUCUGAAAGGCAUGAGUGCUUCAAGAAGGAAUGAACAUCACUGAAUUAAAAGAUAGAAGCCAGGGGCUGGAGAGAUGGCUCAGCGGUUAAGAGCACUGACUGCUCUUCCAAAGGUUCUGAGUUCAAAUCCCAGCAACCACAUGGUGGCUCACAACCAUCCAUAAU
rnacentral:lncRNA from 1 species